rnacentral:rRNA from 1 species
CCUACGGGAGGCUGCAGUGAGGAAUAUUGGUCAAUGGCCGGAAGGCUGAACCAGCCAAGCCGCGUGAAGGACGAAGGUGCCAAGCAUUGUAAACUUCUUUUGUCAAGGGACAAAAUCAGGCUCGAGAGCCUGACCGAGGGUACUUGAAGAAAAAGCAUCGGCUAACUCCGUGCCAGCAGCCGCGGUAAUACGGAGGAUGCGAGCGUUAUCCGGAUUUAUUGGGUUUAAAGGGUGCGUAGGCGGGCUGUUAAGUCAGCGGUAAAAGCCCGGGGCUCAACCCCGGCGAGCCGUUGAAACUGGCGGUCUUGAGAGGGCGAGAGGUAUGCGGAAUGCGCAGUGUAGCGGUGAAAUGCUUAGAUAUUGCGCAGAACUCCGAUUGCGAAGGCAGCAUACCGGCGGCGAUCUGACGCUGAGGCACGAAAGCGUGGGUAUCAAACAGGAUUAGAUACCCCAGUAGUC